AUCCAGCUGACGAGUCCCAAAUAUGGCGAAACGCGCUUUGCCCUGGAU
rnacentral:hammerhead_ribozyme from 1 species